UACGUAGGUGGCAAGCGUUGUCCGGAUUUACUGGGCGUAAAGAGCGCGCAGGCGGUCGUUCAAGUCGCGUGUGAAAGCCCCCGGCUCAACUGGGGAGGGUCACGCGAUACUGAUCGACUCGAAGGCAGGAGAGGGAAGUGGAAUUCCCGGUGUAGUGGUGAAAUGCGUAGAUAUCAGGAGGAACACCAGUGGCGAAGGCGGGUCUCUGGGCCGAUACUGACGCUGGAGGAGCGAAAGCGUGGGGAGCGAACAGG
rnacentral:rRNA from 1 species